rnacentral:rRNA from 1 species
AUUGAACGCUGGCGGCAUGCUUUACACAUGCAAGUCGAACGGUAACAGGCCUUCGGGUGCUGACGAGUGGCGAACGGGUGAGUAAUGCAUCGGAACGUGCCCAGAGGUGGGGGAUAACGCAGCGAAAGCUGUGCUAAUACCGCAUGUGAUCUGAGGAUGAAAGCGGGGGACCAGGCAGCAAUGUUUGGCCUCGCGCCUUUGGAGCGGCCGAUGUCAGAUUAGGUAGUUGGUGGGGUAAAGGCCUACCAAGCCGACGAUCUGUAGCUGGUCUGAGAGGACGACCGGCCACCUGGGGACUGGGCCACGCCCCAGACUCCUACGGGAGGCAGCAGUGGGGAAUUUUGGACAAUGGGCGCAAGCCUGAUCCAGCAAUGCCGCGUGCGGGAAGAAGGCCUUCGGGUUGUAAACCGCUUUUGUACGGAACGAAAAGGCUCUGGCUAAUACCUGGGGCUGAUGACGGUACCGUAAGAAUAAGCACCGGCUAACUACGUG